AUUUCUCACCAUAGCACCCUGAACGCGCCUGAUCUCAUCUGAUCUCAUCUGAUCUCAGAAGCUAAGCAGGGUCGGGCCUGGUUAAUACUUGGAUGGGUAUAAUUAGCUUUUAAUAAAUA
rnacentral:rRNA from 1 species